CGGCAAUGUUUGCGCAGAUGAGAAAUGUCAGUUGUUCGUAUUCAUGCUGUACCUAGACUGGUGGCACUUGAGGUGAGCUCAAGCCUGAAUCCAGUUGUUUGUAUUCCUUUUUUAGUGCAGGAUUUUUUGCACUUUUUAAUUUAGGUUCCGUGUUCUAAUAUUGAUGAUUGAUAUGGUGGAUUAGAACUCUGCAAGUUACAAUUGAGGGACUACCAUAAUUGCAAUUCUGAGUCAUCAUGUGUAGGUAGCUUCAGUUGCAAGACUUCAUGUUUCUUCUCUUGGUUAGAUCACUUGGUCAACAUAUCCUCCCUGGCCACCGGUGGAACGACCUCGAGCCCUGCUGUCUGCGGCUGACCCAGCACUGCUCCGUCCGCCCCCACUGCCCCGCAUCAGCUACUUGGUGGGCUUAGAUGGCAAGGUUUGUUGCUGUUGUUAUUUACUUAUCCCAUCAGUAUUUUUUGGCUGAAACCAUACUCCGUUUAGGUAGAAUUUGUGAACCUAUUAGUCUACAGCCUAUGGUACUCACUUUAUAGGGUAAAUUAGCUGAUUUAGAAUUUGUUCUACAACGACCUGAGAAGCUCAUUUUUACAUGACGCCGGUUAGUAGUGUCUCACAGCGUCGAAGUUUCAAACAGGUUUAAUCAGAAUGAAUACUGAAAUUUAUGACGAGUUGCAUUAUGAAUCAUGUUCUUGCUGGUCAAACUAAUGUUCGUACUUGAUUUGAGUUGACCAUCUUUUGGUUAAAACCACAAUCCUUUUAUGUUUCAUAUUUUUGCAAUUGGUACCAUCAAUUAGGGCUCCUUCAUUACUGAUGGUUAUGUUUUCAGUCACAUUUUUCUGGAUAUUUUGUUAUUAUGUGGCAUCAGAGCUGCGUCGUAAUUAUUGUUUGUGAUUUAAAUCAUCCCAACUGUGGUGAGAGGCUGCUUCCGAGAUGUAAUUUCCAUUUUUUCAUCAUGUAGCUGCGUCAGUGUGCUUCCUUGCUGAUUUCAGUGUUACGUAACCCUUGAUUUGCGCUGGCUACUGUAUUUUCCCGCGGUAUUCUUCAGCACCGCCCUAUUUCAACCAAUUUGGAUGAAGCAAUGCUGAUGAUACUGGACAUGUGACCCAAUCUUUGGGAGGUGUCUCAACAACUUUGAAAUGCUGGGCUCCAAAAGACGGCGGCCGGGAAUAAGCUCCCCUAUUUGCAUUCUCCUGCGUUUGACGAGACGCCAAAUCAUCAUACACAUGGCACUGAAAUCUUGGCACAUUAGCAGGAGAGCCUCCAGCUGUUGUUUGACAGAGUCGAGGUAGUUGUGCCCUUUUUCUUAAUCGUAUGUUCAACAUUUUUACACACUCGUAGACUUGAGGGCAUUGAUUUCUUCUUGCCCUUGUUGUACAUGUCGACAACAUAGCUGAAAACUUUUCUUUUAAGUUCGUCCCUGUCUUGCAUAGCUUUCUCAUAUAAACUAAAAUAUGCAAAGUCCCCGCUAGAUAAUUCCUGUGGAUCAUUCAGAAAAAAGUUCCAGCGCCACUACGAUGGCGAAGAGAGUCGGCUUCGUUGUAGCAUUGAACUGACAAAGGAGAACCAGUAUAGAGCUGAAGAUCUCUCCCACCUCAUCUUCCAUGAUUUGAAAGAAAUCAGGCCUUCACCUGAUUCUCUGGAGAAGUUAAGGCCCAUGUUAACCCAUCUGUAAAAAAAUUGCAAAAUUGCUUUGAAGCUCCACUUGUGCAUCCUCUCCCAAAAACAAAGUUGCACUUAUGUAUAUAGCCGAAUAUUUCUAUUCUAGUGCCCACGUGCAUGUAAUGUUUUUGCUUAUGAAUGUGUGUUUUUAUUGGUGUCGUCCAACCAAACAUAUCCUGAAAUAUCUGUGGUGCUUCAAUGAUGCUUGGCUUGUAUGCUACCUUCUGUAAUUCAACAUGUUUUAUGUCCACU